UACGAGGGGGCUAGCGUUGUUCGGAAUUACUGGGCGUAAAGCGCACGUAGGCGGACAUUUAAGUCAGGGGUGAAAUCCCGGGGCUCAACCCCGGAACUGCCUUUGAUACUGGGUGUCUUGAGUGUGGUAGAGGUGAGUGGAAUUGCGAGUGUAGAGGUGAAAUUCGUAGAUAUUCGCAAGAACACCAGUGGCGAAGGCGGCUCACUGGCCCGAUACUGACGCUGAGGAGCGAAAGCGUGGGAG
rnacentral:rRNA from 1 species